rnacentral:piRNA from 1 species
UCCUUGAGGGUUUAUGGGGCAUAGCC